ACUCUCUCUUCUUAUUAUCGUCGACCCCCUCCCUCUCCCUCUCGUUGCGCCGAUUUCUUCUUCCCCUCUCUUGACACCAAUGAUCUCUUUAUUUUCCCCUCUCCCGAUGCCGACGAUCUCUUCAUCUUCCACUCUCCUGACGCCAAUGAUCUCUUCAUCUUCCUCAACCCGACGCAACUCCUCUCCUCCCAUGUGGACAAAACUCCUCGCACCCAAGCCCUCUUCCUCUGCCCUAGCACCGACCACCUCUCCUCUGGCCUAGCUUCCGAUCCACCGCCGACCAAGUGCACGUCUUUCUGAUUCGAAGCGCCACCUCUGCACAAGUUGGUCUUUGACCAAGAGCAGGGAUCCAAGGCUUAGUUUCUCCUUUUGUGCCCUAGAUUUCCACCGUCGGAUCUCUUUUCCACACUACCACCGAUCGAGCUAGCUCCGGUUGCUGAUCACCAGGUUCUGCCGAGCCACCUAUUUGCCCUUCUUUUGGAUCUGAUCAGGUUACAGGUUGUGGUUUCCUUCGGUUCCGACCACCCCAUUACUGAUCGGAUCUGUUGCCAUCACAGAUGGCUGAAGAAGAAGAAGAGGACUCUGAUUGAGACGACAUCACGACAUAGGAUUUCUGUAUACAAUCUUCUUUUGAAGCGGGUUGAAGCCGUCAGGACGUUGCAGUCGCUAGUCCCCACUAGGAGUCGAGAUGGUUAUCUCUUUUCGGACUUGUGUUUCCUUGUUAGUGAACUACAUACUUGUGAUGUGUGUGUUUGCAAUCUAGGAUUUUAUAUCAUGAUUCGGGUAUGCUGCCCAUGUUUUUUGUUGCGAAGGUUUUCGUUGUAGUGGUGUAGGUUUUUAUUAAACUGCGUGGUUGUGAUUGUCAGCCGGAGGCUGUACUAUAUAAACUGCGUGGAUAUUUGUUUAUUUUAUUGUAUAUGUUCCAGCCGUGUUGGCUAA